GAAAAGUCAGAUCGAAAGUGAAACCAGGGUCUGUCCUGUAUAAAUAGAGGACGAUUUUCUUUCUAUCCCAGAGCUCUGCAGAAGAUCACAAACCUCUGCAUCCUGCUUGAAGGACUCCGGAGAAAGACUUCCAUGUAACAUCUGGAGUUCUGCAAAAAUGCCAAAAAGGCAAGUAUUUUAGACAAGGAGUAAAUCAUUUGCAAUAAUAUAAUAUCGUAGUAAAUGUGCUGAAGAAUGGAUAUGCGCAAAGAACUGCUAAUUUUCAUAUAAUGCUGAUUGUAACCACUUAAAAAAUAAUCCUGCUGGAAAACAAAU